AUUGAACGCUGGCGGCAGGCCUAACACAUGCAAGUCGAGCGGAUGAAGGGAGCUUGCUCCUGGAUUCAGCGGCGGACGGGUGAGUAAUGCCUAGGAAUCUGCCUGGUAGUGGGGGUUACGGCCGGGAACGGGCGGUAAUAACGGAAAACGCCUGGAGGGGGAAGGUGGGGGAUCUUGGGCCUUACGGCAUCCAAAUGAGCCUAGGUCGGAUUAGCUAGUUGGUGGGGUAAAGGCCUACCAAGGCGACGAUCCGUAACUGGUCUGAGAGGAUGAUCAGUCACACUGGAACUGAGACACGGUCCAGACUCCUACGGGAGGCAGCAGUGGGGAAUAUUGGACAAUGGGCGAAAGCCUGAUCCAGCCAUGUCGCGUGUGUGAAGAAGGUCUUCGGAUUGUAAAGCACUUUAAGUUGGGAGGAAGGGCAGUAAGUUAAUACCUUGCUGUUUUGACGUUACCAACAGAAUAAGCACCGGCUAACUUCGUG
rnacentral:rRNA from 1 species